GUACGGAAUCCUUGAGAGAUCAGGGAGUGCUCGAAAGAGAACCGUAACACAGGUGCUGCAUGGCUGUCGUCAGCUCGUGUCGUGAGAUGUUGGGUUAAGUCCCGCAACGAGCGCAACCCUUGUCAUUAGUUGCUACGAAAGGGCACUCUAAUGAGACUGCCGGUGACAAACCGGAGGAAGGUGGGGAUGACGUCAAGUCCUCAUGGCCCUUAUGGGUAGGGCUUCACACGUCAUACAAUGGUACAUACAGAGGGCCGCCAACCCGCGAGGGGGAGCUAAUCCCAGAAAGUGUAUCGUAGUCCGGAUUGUAGUCUGCAACUCGACUACAUGAAGUUGGAAUCGCUAGUAAUCGCGGAUCAGCAUGUCGCGGUGAAUACGUUCCCGGGUCUUGUACACACCGCCCGUCACACCAUGUGAGCGGGUUUCACCAGAAGUAGGUAGCCUAACCGUAAGGAGGGCGCUUACCACGGUGGGAUUCGUGACUG
rnacentral:rRNA from 1 species